rnacentral:rRNA from 1 species
UACGUAGGGCGCGAGCGUUAUCCGGAAUUAUUGGGCGUAAAGAGCUCGUAGGCGGUUUGUCGCGUCUGCUGUGAAAACUGGAGGCUCAACCUCCAGCCUGCAGUGGGUACGGGCAGACUCGAGUGCGGUAGGGGAGAUUGGAAUUCCUGGUGUAGCGGUGGAAUGCGCAGAUAUCAGGAGGAACACCGAUGGCGAAGGCGGCAUCCUGGACCGACACUGACGCUGGAGGAGCGAAAGCCAGGGGAGCAAACGGG